rnacentral:rRNA from 1 species
UACAGAGGGUGCAAGCGUUGUUCGGAAUUAUUGGGCGUAAAGGGCGCGUAGGCGGUGCGGUAAGUCUGUCGUGAAAGCCCCGGGCUCAACCUGGGAAUGGCGAUGGAUACUGGCUCGCUAGAGUGCGGUAGAGGAGAGUGGAAUUCCCGGUGUAGCAGUGAAAUGCGUAGAGAUCGGGAGGAACAUCAGUUGCGAAGGCGGCUCUCUGGACCAGCACUGACACUGAGGCACGAAAGCGUGGGGAGCAAACAGG